UGGGAGGCUGGCUCAAGCCUGGGAGAUCGAGGCUGUAGUGACCCAUGAUCAUACCACUGCACUCCAGCCUAGGUGACAGAGCAAGACUCUGUCACACACACACACACACACACACACACACAAAAGGAAUAAGCUGUUAUAAAAUAGAAUGUAGAGGCAAAAGUGCAAACAACUUAGAGAUGAAAAUAUACACUUAAGUCAAUAGUUUCCCCUUCUUUUUAAUAUAAAAUUGUGAAUAGGUAUAUAAUCACAUAGUUCAAAAAUUAAGCAACAUAAAAUGUGUAUAGUGAGAACUCUCACCCCUAUCCUGUCCUCAUAUGCCCUUCCUUCCCCACCCACUGGUGACCACUGUUAUUAGUUUCUUUUGCAUUCUUCCAGGAUCUAUACAAAUAUAAACAAAUACAAAUUCUAUUUUUCUUCUCUUAUUAUAAACAGCAGUUAGUAUGUUAUAUAUACUUUCUGUAUCUUGCUAUUUUAUUUUAACAUAUCUUGGAGAUCUUUUCACAUCAAUGAAUUAGUGUGCCUUCUUGAUGACUUACAUCAAUGCUGCCAAGGAUAUAUGUCUGUCACCUCCAGUUUUUUAGAAGCAAAGGGAGAAUAUGGUCUUAAUUUUUUUUGCCACUUCUCAGUUCGUUUGUUGAUUACUAAUAGGAAUAGACACAAAGAGGUAAUGCCACCUGCUGCUCCUUUAAAGCAAGAAGUUGGGAAGAAGAGAGCUAUUCAUUCUGUGCUGUGCCUUCUGCCUAAUUCAAUUUGGCUUAGAUUUGUGUUGCCUUUUUUUUCUUGUAAAUAGGCCCCUGAUUUUCAUAAUAAUGUUUUGUUUCUCAGGGAUGCCUUCGAACAAACACUGGUUAUCUGCUUGGUUUUUCUGUUACUGUAAAUUUGGAUUUUAAUAAAAAUAAAAUUUUC
rnacentral:lncRNA from 10 species